rnacentral:tRNA from 1 species
UCAGAGAAAGAGGACUUAAACCUCUAUACCCAACUCCCAAAGCUGGCAUUUUACAUUAAACUAUUCUCUG